rnacentral:rRNA from 1 species
GACGAACGCUGGCGGCGUGCUUAACACAUGCAAGUCGAACGGAAAGGCCCUGCUUUUGUGGGGUGCUCGAGUGGCGAACGGGUGAGUAACACGUGAGUAACCUGCCCUUGACUUUGGGAUAACUUCAGGAAACUGGGGCUAAUACCGGAUAGGAGCUCCUGCUGCAUGGUGGGGGUUGGAAAGUUUCGGCGGUUGGGGAUGGACUCGCGGCUUAUCAGCUUGUUGGUGGGGUAGUGGCCUACCAAGGCUUUGACGGGUAGCCGGCCUGAGAGGGUGACCGGCCACAUUGGGACUGAGAUACGGCCCAGACUCCUACGGGAGGCAGCAGUGGGGAAUAUUGCACAAUGGGCGGAAGCCUGAUGCAGCAACGCCGCGUGCGGGAUGACGGCCUUCGGAUUGUAAACCGCUUUCGCCUGUGACGAAGCGUGAGUGACGGUAAUGGGUAAAGAAGCACCGGCUAACUACGUG